GUGAGGAAUAUUGGACAAUGGGCGCAAGCCUGAUCCAGCCAUGCCGCGUGCAGGAAGACGCAUCUAUGGUGUGUAAACUGCUUUUGUACGGGAAGAAACACUCCCUCGUGAGGGAGCUUGACGGUACCGUAAGAAUAAGGAUCGGCUAACUCCGUGCCAGCAGCCGCGGUAAUACGGAGGAUCCAAGCGUUAUCCGGAAUCAUUGGGUUUAAAGGGUCCGUAGGCGGUUUAAUAAGUCAGUGGUGAAAGCCCAUCGCUCAACGAUGGAACGGCCAUUGAUACUGUUAGACUUGAAUUACAAGGAAGUAACUAGAAUAUGUAGUGUAGCGGUGAAAUGCUUAGAUAUUACAUGGAAUACCAAUUGCGAAGGCAGGUUACUACUUGUGGAUUGACGCUGAUGGACGAAAGCGUGGGGAGCGAACAGGAUUAGAAACCCCGUAGUCC
rnacentral:rRNA from 1 species